GAUGAACGCUGACAGAAUGCUUAACACAUGCAAGUCAACUUGAAUUUGGGUUUUUAACUUAGGUUUGGGUGGCGGACGGGUGAGUAACGCGUAAAGAACUUGCCUCCCAGCUAGGGACAACAUUUGGAAACGAAUGCUAAUACCUAAUAUUAUGAUAAUAGGGCAUCCUAUAAUUAUGAAAGCUAUAAGCGCUGUGAGAGAGCUUUGCGUCCCAUUAGCUAGUUGGAGAGGUAACGGCUCACCAAGGCGAUGAUGGGUAGCCGGCCUGAGAGGGUGAUCGGCAAAAAGGGGACGGAGACACGGCCAGUACUCCUACGGGAGGCAGCAGUGGGGAAAAUUGGACAAUGGAGCGAGAGUCUGAUACAGAAAUUCUGUGUGCACGAUGAAGUUUUUCGGAAUGUAAAGUGCUUUCAGUUGGGAAGAAACAAAUGACGGUACCAACAGAAGAAGUGACGGCUAAAUACGUG
rnacentral:rRNA from 1 species